AUUGAACGCUGGCGGCAUGCUUUACACAUGCAAGUCGAACGGUAACAGGCCGCAAGGUGCUGACGAGUGGCGAACGGGUGAGUAAUGCAUCGGAACGUGCCCAGUCGUGGGGGAUAACGCAGCGAAAGCUGUGCUAAUACCGCAUACGAUCUAUGGAUGAAAGCGGGGGACCGUAAGGCGCCGCGCGAUGGGACCGCCCGAUGUCAGAUUAGGUAGUUGGUGGGGUAAAGGCUCACCAAGCCAACGAUCUGUAGCUGGUCUGAGAGGACGACCAGCCACACUGGGACUGAGACACGGCCCAGACUCCUACGGGAGGCAGCAGUGGGGAAUUUUGGACAAUGGGCGCAAGCCUGAUCCAGCAAUGCCGCGUGCAGGAAGAAGGCCUUCGGGUUGUAAACUGCUUUUGUACGGAACGAAACGGUCUGGGUUAAUACCCUGGGCUAAUGACGGUACCGUAAGAAUAAGCACCGGCUAACUACGUGCCAGCCGCCGCCGUAAUAC
rnacentral:rRNA from 1 species